rnacentral:rRNA from 1 species
AGUAACACGUAAGCAACCUGCCUAUCAGAGGGGAACAACAGGUUAGAAAUGACUGCUAAUACCGCAUAUGCCUUAGUAUCGCAUGGUACAAAAAGGGAAAGGGAGCAAUCCGCUGAUAGAUGGGCUUGCGUCUGACUAGCUAGUUGGUGGGGUAAAGGCCUACCAAGGCGACGAUCAGUAGCCGGACUGAGAGGUUGAACGGCCACAUUGGGACUGAGAUACGGCCCAGACUCCUACGGAAGGCAGCAG